rnacentral:rRNA from 1 species
GAUGAACGCUAGCUACAGGCUUAACACAUGCAAGUCGCGGGGCAGCAUGGGGGUUGCUUGCAAUCCCCGAUGGCGACCGGCGCACGGGUGAGUAACGCGUAUCCAACCUGCCCUUCACCACGGGAUAACCCGGCGAAAGUCGGACUAAUACCGUAUGUUGUCCAUUGACGGCAUCCGAUUUGGACGAAAGGUUUGGCGGUGAAGGAUGGGGAUGCGUCCGAUUAGCUGGACGGCGGGGUGACGGCCCACCGUGGCGACGAUCGGUAGGGGUUCUGAGAGGAAGGUCCCCCGCACUGGAACUGAGACACGGUCCAGACUCCUACGGGAGGCAGCAGUGAGGAAUAUUGGUCAAUGGGCGUAAGCCUGAACCAGCCAAGUAGCGUGCAGGAUGACGGCCCUAUGGGUUGUAAACUGCUUUUAUGCGGGGAUAAAGUGGCCCACGUGUGGGUUUUUGCAGGUACCGCAUGAAUAAGGACCGGCUAAUUCCGUG